GAUGAACGCUGGCGGCGUGCCUAAUACAUGCAAGUCGAGCGAACAGACGAGGAGCUUGCUCCUCUGACGUUAGCGGCGGACGGGUGAGUAACACGUGGAUAACCUACCUAUAAGACUGGGAUAACUUCGGGAAACCGGAGCUAAUACCGGAUAAUAUAUUGAACCGCAUGGUUCAAUAGUGAAAGACGGUUUUGCUGUCACUUAUAGAUGGAUCCGCGCCGCAUUAGCUAGGUGGUAAGGUAACGGCUUACCAAGGCAACGAUGCGUAGCCGACCUGAGAGGGAGAUCGACCACAUUGGAGAUGAGAAACGGUCCAGACUCCUACGGGAGGCAGCAGUAGGGAAUCUUCCGCGAUGGGGGAAAGCCUGACGGAGCAACGGCGCGUGAGUGAUGAAGGUCUUCGGAUCGAAAAACGCUGUUAUUUGGGAAGAACAACUGUGUAAGUAACUAUGCACGACUUGACGGCACCUAAGCAGAAAGCCACGGCUAACUACGUG
rnacentral:rRNA from 1 species